UACAGAGGGUGCGAGCGUUGUCCGGAAUCACUGGGCGUAAAGGGCGCGUAGGCGGCUUGAUAAGCGUGCGGUGAAAGCCCGGGGCUCAACCCCGGGUCGGCCGUGCGAACUGUCGAGCUGGAGCACUGUAGAGGCAGGUGGAAUUCCGGGUGUAGCGGUGGAAUGCGUAGAUAUCAUUUGGAACGCCAAUGGUGAAAACAGGUAGCUGGGGCUGUGCUGACACUGAGACACGAAAGCCAGGGGAGCAAACGGG
rnacentral:rRNA from 1 species